rnacentral:rRNA from 1 species
AGCGAACGUUUGCGGCGGGCCUAACACAUGCAAGUCGAACGCACUAGCAAUAGUGAGUGGCGCACGGGUGCGUAACACGUGGGUAAUCAACCCUUCAGCUUGGGAUAACGACUUGAAAGGGUCGCUAAUACCGGAUACGGCGCGAGAGGCUUCGGCAUCUCACGAGAAAGCCUCGCAAGGGGCACUGAAGGACGAGCCUG